UACAGAGACCUCGAACGUUGUCCGGAUUUAUUGGGCGUAAAGAGCUCGUAGACGGUAUAUCGCGUCUUGUGUUAAAUCUCACGGCUUAACCGUGAGGCUGCACGAGAAACGGGUAUGCUAGAGGUAGGGAGAGGUAAGCGGAAUUCUCGGUGUAGUAGUAAAAUGCGUUAAUAUCGAGAGGAACACCAAAGGCGUAGGCAGCUUACUGGAACUAUCCUGACGUUAAAGAGCGAAAGCACGGGGAGCGAAGCGG
rnacentral:rRNA from 1 species